UACGUAGGGUGCAGGCGUUAAUCGGAAUUACUGGGCGUAAAGCGCACGUAGGCGGAUUCGUAAGUCAGGGGUGAAAUCCCGGGGCUCAACCUCGGAACUGCCUUUGAUACUGCGGGUCUUGAGUCCGAUAGAGGUGGGUGGAAUUCCUAGUGUAGAGGUGAAAUUCGUAGAUAUUAGGAAGAACACCGGUGGCGAAGGCGGCCCACUGGAUCGGUACUGACGCUGAGGUGCGAAAGCGUGGGGAGCAAACAGG
rnacentral:rRNA from 1 species